AAAGAAUACAUCUUGUAAUCUAAUUGGUGAAACUAUUGACUUUUCUACAGCACGCCAAGGAACAGAAGCCUCUGGGUUUAACCAGGUCUUCAGGAAAUUCAUUUGGAAUGAUAGGACCAGUGGCGUGGUGUUCACUGCAGUGCUCGUGGUUGUCCUCGCCCAGUGAUGCCACAAACUCCUUGACGUCUUGUGCUGUGGUGAAUGACAGACACUCUCCCGUGUGUGGCCCGGAGCGUUGCUGGAUAGGUGAGGAGUGACUGGAUGCCUCUCAGUCUGAGUUUGUUCCGGACCUCGUUGAAGACUUUGCAGUGUGUGUGUGCUGUAGAAAAACCACAGAACAUUACUAUCAUGGUAGGGUAGCCUAGUGGUUAGAGCGUUGGACUAGUGACCGGAAGGUUGCAAGUUCAAAUCCCCGAGCUGACAAGGUACAAAUCUGUCGUUCUGCCCCUGAACAGGCAGUUAACCCACUGUUCCUAGGCCGUCAUUGAAAAUAAGAAUUUGUUCUUAACUGACUUGCCUAGUUAAAUAAAGGUUAAAAAAAUGAACUCUGCUGCUCCGGCUCCUUGUAGAAUGGCUUGGCGGUCG
ensembl:lncRNA